rnacentral:rRNA from 1 species
ACGAAGGGGGCUAGCGUUGUUCGGAAUUACUGGGCGUAAAGGGCGCGUAGGCGGCGCGUUAAGUCAGGUGUGAAAGCCCUGGGCUCAACCCAGGAAUUGCACUUGAUACUGACGCGCUUGAAUCCGGAAGAGGAUGACGGAAUUCCCAGUGUAGAGGUGAAAUUCAUUGAUAUUGGGAAGAACACCAGUGGCGAAGGCGGUCAUCUGGUCCGGUAUUGACGCUGAGGCGCGAAAGCGUGGGGAGCAAACAGG